rnacentral:tRNA from 1 species
GCCAUGCUCUGGCUUAAAAUCUGCCGCUUUUAACGAAGCGUGCCGGUUCGAUUCCGGCUCGAGGCACCA